AUUCGGUUUUCGGCGUGCCGCGGCCGUGGACAUGAUUAAAACUACUUUUACAGUUUAAUCUCGCGUUUUUUAUUAUCAUUAUAUUGUUUCCGACAUUUCAACGACUUUACAGUUUUUGUGAUAACGGUUGACUUUGACGACCGGAAAAACACAAUCAUAAAAUCAGAGAAUCUCUCGGUUCUUUGAGUUCGAGAAGCAACACAGGCGGUCGUCUUGAACCCUGCCAUUCGAAUUCGGGUGGAGUUAUUUGGAGCUGUCAGCUCCAUUGAAAAAUGUAUGGCAACGGAGAUAGCUUUUUUCGAUUAAGAAAGCACGCAACCCAAAUAAGAUUUGGUAAUGUCAUUAAAGAAUCUCCGAAAAGGACAAAGCAUUCAAGUCUGUUGGCUUCGUUUUUGCUUCGAAAAAACCAGCAACACUGUCUCACCACCCACAGUGAAGAGAACUCCGCACGUGCGGCCAAUAAGCUCUUCCAAAUGUUCAAAACUCUAACAAUCCUUUUUUUUUUCAAUUAACUUUAGAAUUAGAUUAAUACAAACAUUAAUUUAAUGAUUUCAAAAAUUGUAACAAACUAGAGUCGUUAUAAAUUUAACUACGACAAAUAAGUGAUGUUCCUUAUGUGUGCUUUAAGAAGGCAUGCUUAUAUUUGGCAAAAAAACACGUGUUUGUUUACAAGCUAAGUUAUACUUGCUUUUUUUCUUAUCUUAAUAGACAAACGACCAUACGUCCCACCUAACAGUGAGUGGUCACCGAUGCUAUGGUCAUCAAUCAUUAGUAGUAUUAGUGGCAUUCAGAGAUGGAAGUCUCAAUUGUAUUAUACAUAAAACGUUCUACAAACUGGAACAUAUGACUGCUUCGCGACAAAAAUUGCUUGAUACCAGCAUCCACCAGAACACCGAGCAUCUUGUUCUUUAGCCUACAACGAAUUCAGAAGUACAGCGGACGGAAAGAUUUAGAAGUAGGACCUGUCGCAGCGCCCAAGUAUCACUUAGCUCUGUUGAGAGCCUUCCAAAUAACUCUGAACACCAUUUGAAAUAUCAAUCACGUCACGUUAAAUUAUCUUGAACUAGACUGGAUACAAUUACAUUGAACAUAUUUUUAUACAGGAUGCAAUUUCAACUGUUCCGAAGGGUGAAUUUUUUUUUAUAUUUGAGAAGUUACUGGUGGCCCGGAGGCCUUUCCAGUUUUACCAGGGCAGGUGGGCGAGCAAAGGCUCAGCCAGGAGAGCUGAGAUUUGCUAACAGCUACCCGAGCGCCUCCAAAUGAGACCUAACGACUCAUGAGUAGCUGUUUCGCGAAUGAAUCUACUACCGGAUCGGAAUCGCGACCCGCUGAGAAGAUCCGGCGAGAAACUCAGCGGGCUGAUGUUUAGGUUAGGUUGCACGUCGAACUCUUUGCCGAGUUCGACAAACACGGUUACCGAGGUCCCUUGUUAGAGCUAAAGGUGUCUAAUGCAAAUGUUAUUGGAUCUAAUGGAUCCGUAAGGACGUACGGUGAAAUAAGCGGUAGUAAGAGUAUUGGAACACCAUCGUCAUAGGCCAAUGCAAUGCAAUAAACCAGAACGGCCGAAAGUAAAGUUCUUGACUUAUCAAGUUCUGUAAGGCUUAAAUUACGUUUUAAUAACUAUGAAAUUGUUGUACCACUAAUUGAUUCAGGAAUAUAAUAUUAUGUUUUCCGAGCAUGUUAAUUUAGUGGAAUAUUACUAUUUCUGCUUCGGAUUUCCACUACAAUCUGUAUAACUACAUACAAAGUAGUAUUAUUUUCCUGUCAGUAACAUAAAUAUAGUAACAGUUUUGCCUAAUUAGAGACUUGUACCGCCACAACGGUUAUCCAGUAACAUGUACCAGAGAUGUUAUCAUAAAUACAAUGCGAUGUUGGCAUUCAGCUCGAUUCUCAAGCCUUCAACAAAUGUUUCUUUAAAGAAAGCAAGGAACAUUAAUCGUUCCAAUUACGUGGCACGGUGCCGAUCGAAUAGUAGCUAUCCUUUUAAAUUAAUUGGAUUGAUUAACCAAUUGAAUUUAACGCAAUAGUGUUUUUGUAGAAGCAAAGAUUACGACUGCGCUCCCGUUGAUUAUACUGCUUGCGCUUCGAAUAAUUGAGUUAAAAUUUUAACAGGGUUUGGAAUUCUUGUUUGUUGUCGUGUUUUUAUUGUCAUGGUAAUAUUGGUAUUAUGUAAAAUAUGCAUGUUAUUUGGCUUUUAAUUGGAUUGUAUGUGAGAGUUAGGUUCAUAAAAUAGGCAAUAAGAAAAACUAAUUCUUAAAAACAUCAUAAAUGAACACGUUCUGUUAAGAAAUAAUACUUGUUGCACUCAUAGCCAAAACAAAACUAAAGCACCAAUGUACGGUAAGAUAUAUUUUGAACGAAAACUUUUUUUAUUUAAAAAACUAAUAUUUGAAAUUAGGAACUAUUAGAUAGAUUCUAAAUUAUCCCUGUGAUUGCGCAAUAUAACUAAGAUUUUUGCAAUUUCUUCUUACAGAAACCAAUUACCAUUAAUUCAAAUAGUAUACUUUUUUGCACAACAGCCCGCUUUUUUCUUAAUAAAAUGUAAUUAUUAUUAUAUUAAUAAAUAGGUAACGAUGUGCUAAACGUCAUGUGCGCAGCAGAAUGUCUUUUGUUUUUUACGACUACAAGUAUUUUAUGGAGCGAGCUAUAAAACUAAAAAUACUGGCAAUUAAAUUCUGACCGUUUUCAAUUUAUAUUAUAUUUAUGAGGAACAAUAGUACCGGGAAUAUUGAAUAUGAAAUUAUACUAAUUCCAAUUCAAUUUAAUUUACAAAAGGUUAUUUUAUUAUUAUAUUAAACACGCAAGACCCGCUUUUAAAUUUUUGAUUUAUUUUUAAUAUAUACUCGUAGUAAGUACAGCGUCAUUUGAAUUAAAAAUUAUAUUUUAUGUGUGCACUUGUAUGUAUUUAGGUAUCUUUUUGUGAAACGUACAGUAUUUAAUGUUGAAAAUAAACGCCACUUAGCCAUGCUUUGUUUUUUUACGAUCAAGUUUGAAACUUCUGAUUUGUAAAUGGAGUGCGUUUCUGUAGGUAUAUACCUAGUCAGGUCAUAAGUAUUGUCACACAGUAAAAACUUUUCUUUUAAAAUGCUGGCCACAAAAAAGUUUAUUGAAUUCGAAUUUCGAAUUGUUCAUGAAAAUAAAAAUGUAUACUUUUAGAAUUUUACUCAUUUUUAAAUAUGGAGUGGACGCUUAAAGAAGACCGUGUUGCAGUUAUUGCGUUGCAUCGUUGCGGUUACGCGCCAAUUCAAAUUUUUAACAUACUGAAAAAUUUGAAUAUAACCAAAAGAUUCGUUUAUAGUACCAUAAAACGAUACAAUGAAGACUCUAGUGUAGAUGACAGGUCAAGAGGUGAUCGCCCUCGGUCUGUUAGGACUCCAGCAGUGAUACAAGCUGUGAAGGCGCAAAUUCAAAGAAAUCCCAAACGUAAGCAGAAACUGUUGGCCCUUCAGAUGGGGUUAAACAGAACCACGGUGAAAAGGGUGUUAAAUGAAGACUUAGGGCUUCGGGCAUAUCGAAGAAAAACAGGACAUCGUUUGAAUGCUCGUCUAAUGGACCUGAGACUGAAGAGAUGCCGCGCUUUGUUGAAGCGGUACGCCGGAAAAAAAGAAUCGGGAAAUUCUUUUUUCGGAUGAAAAUUUUUUUACCGUAGAAGAGAGCUACAACAAACAAAAUGAUAAGGUGUACGCACACAGUAGUGAAGAAGCGAGCAACCGUAUUCCGCGUGUCCAACGAGGUCAUUUUCCAUCCUCGCUCAUGGUAUGGUUGGGAGUUUCUUAUUGGGGCUUAACAGAGGUACAUUUUUGUGAGAAAGGUGUAAAAACGAAUGCAGUUGUGUAUCAAAAUACAGUCCUGACGAACCUUGUAGAACCUGUUUCUCAUACCAUGUUCAAUAACAGGCACUGGGUAUUCCAAUAAGAUUCGGCGCCAGCUCAUAGAGCGAAGAGCACACAAGACUGGCUGGCGGCGCGUGAAAUCGACUUCAUC